rfam:Myotis davidii contig324772, whole genome shotgun sequence.
GGCAGUUCUCGGGUGAUGCACCCUGGAAUCGGGCUCCCUCCUCUCAGGUUCUGGGUGUAUCACCCGAGUACUGUA